GCUAAGCCCUAAACAUUGAUCAGUUAUUAUACAAUACUCUCCGCCAGAGAACUACAAGUGAAAAACUUGAAACUCAAAGGACUUGACGGUAUCCCAUAUCGACCUAGAGGAGCCUGUCCUAUAAUCGAUACCCCUCGCUCCACCCAACCCUAGCUAGCAAUUAAUCAGCCUAUAUACCGCCGUCGAUCAGCCUACCCUAUGAAGGUCUAACAGUAGACACAAUAGCCCAACCGCUAAUACGUCAGGUCAAGGUGUAGCAAAUGCUAGGGAAGAGAUUGGCUACAUUUUUUAUGAUAAAAAACACGAAAUGUAUUAUGAAACAAUACAUGAAGGUGAAUUUAGUAGUAAAAUAGAUAAGAGAAUCUAUUUUAACAACGCUCUGGGAUGCGUACACACCGCCCGUCACCCUCCUCAAAUUUAUACACAACCAUUUAUAAAACACUAACUUAAUCCUAGAGGAGGU
rnacentral:rRNA from 1 species